AUUGAACGCUGGCGGCAUGCCUUACACAUGCAAGUCGAACGGCAGCACGGGGGCAACCCUGGUGGCGAGUGGCGAACGGGUGAGUAACACAUCGGAACGUGUCCUGUUGUGGGGGAUAACCAGUCGAAAGACUGGCUAAUACCGCAUGAGCUGGAGACAGGAAAGCGGGGGACCUGAAAGGGCCUCGUGCGAUUGGAGCGGCCGAUGUCCGAUUAGCUAGUUGGUGGGGAAAGGCCCACCAAGGCGACGAUCGGUAGCUGGUCUGAGAGGAUGAUCAGCCACACUGGGACUGAGACACGGCCCAGACUCCUACGGAGGCAGCAGUGGGGAAUUUGGACAAUGGGGGCAACCCUGAUCCAGCCAUGCCGCGUGAGUGAAGAAGGCCUCGGUUGUAA
rnacentral:rRNA from 1 species